rnacentral:rRNA from 1 species
UUGACCUCAAAUCAGGUAGGACUACCCGCUGAACUUAAGCAUAUCAAUAAGCGGAGGAAAAGAAACUAACAAGGAUUCCCCUAGUAACUGCGAGUGAAGCGGGAAAAGCUCAAAUUUAGAAUCUGAGGGUCUUUAUGGCCUUCCGAGUUGUAAUCUAGAGAAGUGCUAUCCGCGCUGGACCGUGUACAAGUCUCCUGGAACGGAGCGUCAUAGAGGGUGAGAAUCCCGUCUUUGACACGGACACUCAGGGCUUAUGUGAUGCGCUCUCAAAGAGUCGAGUUGUUUGGGAAUGCAGCUCUAAAUGGGUGGUAAAUUCCAUCUAAAGCUAAAUAUUGGCGAGAGACCGAUAGCGAACAAGUACCGUGAGGGAAAGAUGAAAAGGACUUUGGAAAGAGAGUUAAACAGUACGUGAAAUUGUUGAAAGGGAAACACUUGAAGUCAGUCGCGUUGGCCAGGAAUCAACCUUGCUUUUGCUUGGUGCACUUUCUGGUUAACGGGUCAGCAUCAAUUUUGACUGGUGGAUAAAGGUCAGGGGAAGGUGGCAUCUUAGGAUGUGUUAUAGCCCUUGGUCACAUACAUUGGUUGGGAUUGAGGAACUCAGCACGCCGCAAGGUCGGGUGUUUACACCACGUUUACGUGCUUAGGAUGUUGGCAUAAUGGCUUUAAGUGACCCGUCUUGAAACACC